GCAAGCCUGAUCCAGCCAUGCCCCGUGAGUGAAGAAGGCCCUUGGGUUGUAAAGCUCUUUCGUCGGGGAUUAAAAUGACUGUACCCGAAUAAGAAGGUCCGGCUAACUUCGUGCCAGCAGCCGCGGUAAUACGAAGGGACCUAGCGUAGUUCGGAAUUACUGGGCUUAAAGAGUUCGUAGGUGGUUGAAAAAGUUAGUGGUGAAAUCCCAGAGCUUAACUCUGGAACUGCCAUUAAAACUUUUCAGCUAGAGUAUGAUAGAGGAAAGCAGAAUUUCUAGUGUAGAGGUGAAAUUCGUAGAUAUUAGAAAGAAUACCAAUUGCGAAGGCAGCUUUCUGGAUCAUUACUGACACUGAGGAACGAAAGCAUGGGUAGCGAAGAGGAUUAGAUACCCUCGUAGUCCAUGCCGUAAACGAUGUGUGUUAGACGUUGGAAAUUUAUUUUCAGUGUCGCAGGGAAACCGAUAAACACACCGCCUGGGGAGUACGACCGCAAGGUUAAAACUCAAAUGAAUUGACGGGGACCCGCACAAGUAGUGGAGCAUGUGGUUUAAUUCGAAGAUACCCGCAGAACCUUACCAACACUUGCAUGUUCGUCGCGACUCUUAAAAGAUUAAAAGUUUUCGGUUCGGCCGGACGAAACACAAGUGCUUGCAUGGCUUGUCCGUCAGCUUCGUGUCGUGAGAUGUUGGGUUAAGUCCCCCAACCAGCGCCACCCUUACUUUUAGUUGCCAUCAUUAAAUUGGGCCCCUUUUUGAAAAACCUGCCC
rnacentral:rRNA from 1 species